CUGUAGUGAGUGAAGUUUUCGUUCAUAAUCACGUAGCUUGUGUGGAAUGGAGAAAGGGAAGUUAAGAAGUGAGGAUAUUUAUAUUAUUUGAAUUAUUAUUUGAUAACGUGUCAACUUGUGUGUGUGUGUGUGUAUGUGGUUGAGGAGCAGUGACAGGUGGCGCUGAGGAGGAAGGGCAGGCGGCUGGCUGGCUCCAGUUUUUUCUUCAGCACCGGUCAGUCAUGCCCCACACGCUCUAGUAACCAGUGUUUCCAUAUUCCUGGCUCCCUGCACCGAGCACCGCCAAGCAGCAUCAAGGAAGCACGAGUAGAUAAGAUUUCUCAAGACCUCUUUGUCGACAAUGUAGAGACCAACAACUUCCUUGCCUCUGCACUGACAUGUCUCUUCGCCAACAUCGAGGACAACACCGCCCGCCUAACAUAACAAUACAUAGCAAGCAGGAACAGACACUCACCCUUGACAGCCUUCUCAAGGGGCUCAGUGGUGUGUAGGAUGUUGGCCCGCACCAGCUCAAGAGGGCCGGGGCGCUGGCAGAGGUGAUCACUGAUGGCAUCCGCUAUUCGGGC